UACGAAGGGGGCUAGCGUUGCUCGGAAUCACUGGGCGUAAAGCGCACGUAGGCGGCUUUUUAAGUCAGAGGUGAAAGCCUGGAGCUCAACUCCAGAACUGCCAUUGAAACUGUUGGACUUGAGUACGAGAGAGGUGAGUGGAAUUCCCAGUGUAGAGGUGAAAUUCGUAGAUAUUGGGAAGAACACCGGUGGCGAAGGCGGCUCACUGGCUCGUAACUGACGCUCAGGCGCGACAGCGUGGGGAUCAAACAGG
rnacentral:rRNA from 1 species